rnacentral:lncRNA from 1 species
CCAGGUUCAACCCACCACUUUUAUUCCCCUUUAAAAGUGUCCUGUACCAAGUCAGGAAGAUGGCCAUUGUUAUAUUAUUGUUCGUUUCUGUGUGUGUUGCAUUUUAACGUUGAGUCGUUUGUGUUUUCUCUUAUUUUUGAGAUAUUGAGAUAAGACGUGGCACGGUACUUGUCUAUCCCAAAUUCAUGUAUUUGGUUUUCAUGUUAUAUUUGUUAUUCUCGUGGUGUUUUGUCUGAUGCUUGGUCCGUUUCUCUGUGUGUUACGUUUCGGUGUUAUGUCGUUGUUCUCCUCUUAUAUUUAAUGCGUUUCCCUCGGUUUUAGUUUGUUACCCCGAUUUUGUUUUUUGUCCAUGGAUUUAUGAGUUUUGAACAGCGGUAUACUACUGUUGCCUUUAU